GGUGUCUCGUGCCUACCCCUGAUUGUGCACGUUGGGGCAGUAGCCCAGGAGCCCUCCGGACUGGCUUGAACCUAUCAGGCCUCAUAGAUCUGUGCGUAAAUGCGCACGCCCCACACAAAAAGCCUGCUUUUACCCUGCUGCGGGACCUGAGAUUCCACAUCUGGAUGCGCCCCCUGCCAUCUAGUUGAAGCUGAGGAUUGCAUUUGGCAGGAGAAGGUUAAAGCUUUGCUUUUGGUUGAGCAUGACCUUCAACAUUUGAUCCUCCUGCCUUCAAGGCCUGAGUGCCAGAGUUACAGACAUGUACCAUCCCACCAGAUUUAUGAGGUGCUCAGGAUUAACCAUCCCCCCAAGCCCCCCAGCUUCAGACUAAAGUGAAGCUGGCAAAAUGGCUCAAGGGGUAAAAGGGCUUGUUUGCUUCCACACCUGAUGACCUGCGUUGGAGCCCCAGGACCCACCACACAGUAGGAGAGAGUCUCACAAACUUGUCCUCUGAUCUCCAUACACACGUGGAGACGGACAUCCAGCACGUAGACCCAGAAUUCCCGCCUUCCCAGCAUACAACCGCAGAAACCACGCCGGUGUGGACGCUCUAGCCCUUCAGCGCCUUCUCGUUGAUUGUCCUCUCUGAAGCUACCCAGGGCGCCGCCACAUUCCCUUCCUUGAGGGCGGAGCCUGUGCAGUCACGUGAAGAGUCUGGAGACGCAGUCCAGACUGUCCUUGAACUUGAGGUCCACCAGCCUCUGUUUUGUCAGUGCGGCGAUGAGCCAGCCACCAUGCCCAGUUUGAGGGAGAGAGGCUCAUUAUGAAAGGAAUGCGACCCUGCCCUGGUAGGCUGACACUGGAGUCGAUUCUGGGUUGCUUACUGAAGACAUUUCGCUGGAUGAAGUUUUCCCGUGGUAACAGUCAGAGGAUAUGCCCUAGUGCUAUAAUAAUACAGGUGUAUUUAUGCCUCUGAGUGCCAGCAGGAGGGUCAGAAGUUCAAGACCUACCUGGGCUACAUAAAACCCAGUCUCAAAAAUAACAAAAAACCACACUUGAACAUAAACAAGAACAGCCAGAUGUGGUAGACCUUGCCUUUCAUCUCAGCCCUUGGGAGGCAGAGGGAGGUAGAUCUGUGAGUUUGAAGCCAGCUAGAUCUACAAAACAAGUUCCAGGAUAGCCAGGGCUACAUAGAGAAAUCUUUUGUCUUGAAAAAGUCAACAAACAAACAAAUAAACAAACCAUAACCAAGAAGGCACAGGACAGGAAUGGUGGGGAGAUACUUAUAAUUCAGCCCUUGGGAAGCAGAGGGCAAGAAGCCCAGGCGUUCAGUCAUCCUCAGCUGUGCAGCCUGGGUUACCAAGAGCCUGUCUCACACAGACACACUGGGGACCAGAGCACAGCUAUGCAGCCUGGGUUACCAAGAGCCUGUCUCAGACAAUCACAGACACACUGGGGACCAGAGCACAGUUUGUAUUGGCAUGGUCAGCGUGGAGGGAGCCACAUCCGAGCUUUUAGAAAUUUCAAAGAAAAAUCGCCAAAUAUUGUCUGAAACAUGGGUAGCAAGGAUGCCAAAUGUAACCUUGGUGGAGCCACAGCGGGUGUGCCCGUCUGUGUCCGAAUAUGUUGAUACGCAUGAGAAGGCUAGGUCAAACGUCCUUCCCAGUAACUUUUUACUUCAUUUCUCUUACUGAGCCUGGAGCUCGCCAGCAGCUAAGCUGAGCCCCAGGGAUCCUCUUGUCUGCCUCCCCAGCA